GAUGAACGCUAGCUACAGGCUUAACACAUGCAAGUCGAGGGGCAGCGCAGUGUAGCAAUACAUGGGCGGCGACCGGCGCACGGGUGCGCAACGCGUAUCCAACCUUCCCGUUACUCAGGGAUAGCCUUCCGAAAGGGAGAUUAAUACCUGAUGGUGUUCAAAUUCCGCAUGUUAUUUGAACUAAAGAUUCAUCGGUAACGGAGGGGGAUGCGUGACAUUAGAUAGUAGGCGGGGUAACGGCCCACCUAGUCUACGAUGUCUAGGGGUUCUGAGAGGAAGGUCCCCCACACUGGAACUGAGACACGGUCCAGACUCCUACGGGAGGCAGCAGUGAGGAAUAUUGGUCAAUGGUCGGAAGACUGAACCAGCCAAGUAGCGUGAAGGAUGAAGGUUCUAUGGAUUGUAAACUUCUUUUAUACGGGGAUAAAACCUCCCACGUGUGGGAGCUUGUAUGUACCGUAUGAAUAAGCAUCGGCUAACUCCGUGCCAGCAGCCGCGGUAAAAC
rnacentral:rRNA from 1 species